AUUGUUGUCUUCUACUUAUUUUCUUGUUUGUCUUUGUCUAACAUUUUUUUUUUCAGGUGCUCUUGUCUUUGUCAUUUGAUGAGGAUCUUGGUAAGUCAGAUGCAGAUGCCGAUGCCGAUGAUAAAGUUAAAAGCAAGAAAAAUAAGAAACGGAAGAUUUCUGAAUCAAAACAAUUGCAAGAAAAUGAAAGAAAGAAAACAAAGCAGGAAUUGAUUUCAAAGAUGAGAGAGGAGGUACUGGUUCUCCAUGAGAACAUUGGAUUCUUGAUGCUUCUUGUUUAAUAUUUUGUCACAUUAUUGGUGUUUUUAGUGCUUGACUUCUGUUUACAUUACCUAACACAGGAGCAAAUACAUGUUGACUUUAAUCUAUAAUACAGAUGCAAUUAAUAAGUGACGAAAGCUUUGAUAAAAUUAUGGAAUUUGAACUUUAAUCUAUCAUGAGUAUCCCAAUGAUUAUACUAAUCCAGUGCUAUUUGAUUGUCUAGAUAAUGUUCAAGACAUUGAGGCGAAAGAUGUUUAACAAGUAUGUCAAAACAAGUUCAGUUAGCUUGUAUUGUAUUGUUAGA
rnacentral:lncRNA from 1 species